GACGGAGGGGGCUAGCGUUGUUCGGAAUGACUGGGCGUAAAGGGCGUGUAGGCUGUUGAUCAAGUCAGGCGUGAAAGCCUUGGGCUUAACCUGAGAAUUGCGUUUGAUACUGGUUGACUUGAGGAUGGGAGAGGAAAGCGGAAUUCCGAGUGUAGAGGUGAAAUUCGUAGAUAUUCGGAGGAACAUCAGAGGCGAAGGCGGCUUUCUGGACCAUAUCUGACGCUGAGGCGCGAAAGCGUGGGGAGCAAACAGG
rnacentral:rRNA from 1 species